rnacentral:rRNA from 1 species
CAGCAGCCGCGGUAAUACGAAGGGGGCUAGCGUUGCUCGGAAUUACUGGGCGUAAAGGGAGCGUAGGCGGACAUUUAAGUCAGGGGUGAGAUCCCAGAGCUCAACUCUGGAACUGCCUUUGAUACUGGGUGUCUUGAGUGUGAUAGAGGUAUGUGGAACUCCGAGUGUAGAGGUGAAAUUCGUAGAUAUUCGGAAGAACACCAGUGGCGAAGGCGACAUACUGGAUCAUUACUGACGCUGAGGCUCGAAAGCGUGGGGAGCAAACAGGAUUAGAUACCCCCGUAGUCCCUGUCUCUUAUAC